CAAAGGUUAAUUCCGGUGGCGGAUGGGCAUGCGUCGCAUUAGUUAGUUGGCGGUGUAACGGACCACCAAGACGACGAUGCGUAGGGGUUCUGAGAGGAAGGUCCCCCACACUGGUACUGAGACACGGACCAGACUCCUACGGGAGGCAGCAGUGAGGAAUAUUGGUCAAUGGGCGGGAGCCUGAACCAGCCAAGUCGCGUGAGGGAUGACGGCCCUAUGGGUUGUAAACCUCUUUUGCCGGGGAGCAAAGUGCCGCACGUGUGCGGUUUGGAGAGUACCCGGAGAAAAAGCAUCGGCUAACUCCGUGCCAGCAGCCGCGGUAAUACGGAGGAUGCGAGCGUUAUCCGGAUUUAUUGGGUUUAAAGGGUGCGUAGGCGGACGCUUAAGUCAGCGGUAAAAUUGCGGGGCUCAACCUCGUCGAGCCGUUGAAGCUGGGUGCCUUGAGUGGGCGAGAAGUACGCGGAAUGCGUGGUGUAGCGGUGAAAUGCAUAGAUAUCACGCAGAACUCCGAUUGCGAAGGCAGCGUACCGGCGCCCAACUGACGCUGAAGCACGAAGGCGUGGGUAUCGAACAGGAUUAGAUACCCUGGUAGUCCACGCAGUAAACGAUGAAUGCUAGUUGUCCGGGGCGAUUGAGUUCUGG
rnacentral:rRNA from 1 species